rnacentral:pre_miRNA from 1 species
AUCACCUGGGGAUCUUGUUAAACAGUAGUUUCUGAUUUAGUAGGGGCCCACAUUCUGCAUUUCUAACAAGUUCCCCAGUAAUG